UACGAAGGGGGCUAGCGUUGCUCGGAAUCACUGGGCGUAAAGGGCGCGUAGGCGGGAUGGCAAGUCAGUCGUGAAAUCUCUCGGCUCAACCGAGAAACGUCGGGCUGAUACUGCCGUUCUUGAGGGAUGCAGAGGAGACUGGAAUUCCCGGUGUAGCGGUGAAAUGCGCAGAUAUCGGGAGGAACACCAGUGGCGAAGGCGGCUUCCUGGCCUGUUCUUGACGCUGGAGGCGCGAAAGCUAGGGGAGCAAACGGG
rnacentral:rRNA from 1 species